GACGAACGCUGGCGGCGUGCUUAACACAUGCAAGUCGAACGGUGAUGCUCCAGCUUGCUGGAGUGGAUCAGUGGCGAACGGGUGAGUAACACGUGAGCAACCUGCCCCAGACUCUGGAAUAAGCGCUGGAACCGGCGUCUAAUACUGGAUACGAAACUGGCCCGCAUGGGCAUGGUUUGGAAAGUUUUUCGGUUUGGGAUGGGCUCGCGGCCUAUCAGCUUGUUGGUGAGGUAAUGGCUCACCAAGGCGACGACGGGUAGCCGGCCUGAGAGGGCGACCGGCCACACUGGGACUGAGACACGGCCCAGACUCCUACGGGAGGCAGCAGUGGGGAAUAUUGCACAAUGGGCGAAAGCCUGAUGCAGCGACGCCGCGUGAGGGAUGACGGCCUUCGGGUUGUAAACCUCUUUCAGCAGGGAAGAAGCGAAAGUGACGGUACCUGCAGAAGAAGCACCGGCUAACUACGUG
rnacentral:rRNA from 1 species